AGGACGAACUAGGAUCAUGCCUAGCGUUUACCUAGUCUUCGAUGACUGGUCGCGAGGGCACAGCAUCCGCGAGGUAAUAAUCCCGUCUUCCGGCUCUGCCAUCUCAGCCCCGGCCGACGCGAAGCCCACGCCUCCGGUGUUCCUGCGCUUGGAGGCAAGGCAUGGGGCGCCGCAGCACUUCGUGUCAGCCUUCGGCACCAACAUCUUGGCCAUGCACAGCAGGUACUACGAGGGCAACUGUUCUAUGAUCGGGGGCUUCACCACCAUGGUCGACGUCCGCGAGCGGAGCCUCACCCUUUUCCCCGGGCAGUUUUAUCCGUGUCAUCCCAUUUAUUUCUCCGACGGCGACAAGCUGUUCUGCCUGAGCCUAGGCAGCUUCGAGAUGAUCGUCUGGGACCGGGACCCCCCGCUGGAUUCUUCUCACGGCGGGGAGAGCCCGUGGGAACAGCUCCCGGAACCGCCGUUCGGGCGUUAUGACGUCACCUCCUACGCCGUGCAGCCUCAGUCGUGGAUCUUCGUCGUCAGCACCAAGAUAGACGCCACUGAGGCCACCUUCGCCUUUGACAUGGUGGAACUUUCGUGGAAACGACUUGGCAGCUGGGCGCUGCCCUUCGAUGGCCGUGGUCACUUUGACCAGGACCUCAAUGCCUUUGUCGGACUCUCCAAAGAACCGGACACCCUCGGCCAACUGGGCCAGGACGCGGAGUAACUGAGGGCGAGCUCAGAUGCGCUCGAUAUCGAGGUCGUCGGUUAGCGCUUCCGGAUCGGAGCCAUUUUUUUUAUACGUGAGGUUGCGGUGUGCCAAAAAAUGAAUACUGUUGGGAAAUACGUACGCGGCUGUGAUGGGUGGUAGACGGCCGCCCGCCAUCGGCGAGGUGAGCCGUGGAUCAGAAUCGACGGCGCCAUCUGAUCCGUGGCUCGGGAAGUUCACUUCCUGUGUACUGGUUGCAGGAGCGAGAGUUUUCUCGCCCAGCGCGUGGAUCAUUUGGAAGCCGAGGACUGCAGGAUGGUGUUACUGAUGCAGACUGUCGGCAGAUCCACUCUGCUUGAGCUAGGGAAGACUUUGGUGCCUGCCCCUGUGGUUGUGAAUGGCCCUGCGGUGACGGAUUUUGAGGUGGCACAUCAGGCGGAGCGCGAGGCGGCGCAACAUCGGAUGGAGGACAGGGGCAAAGCACAAAUCUUCUCGGCGAAGGAGGCGGCAGCCGACAAAAGGGAGAGCUCGCCGCCGCCGCCGCCAGAGCUGUCAACGAUGAAGAUGAAUCCCCAAGCGCCGGGAUGGAACACGAGGUUAGUGAAGAACAAGCUGCAUCCCAUCCGAUAUUCAGGGAUUUAGGAAACAAACCUAGACAUGACUGAAGAAAUUGUACAGUUAGAGCAAGUGCUGAUUACUCACUGCAUUGAGGAAAUUCAUGCUGUAUGUGCUUGUGUUUGCAGGCUGAUUGCUCUGUGCAUUCAGAAAAUUCAUGUUUGCAGGCUGAUUCCUCUCUGCAUUCAGAAAAUCCAUGUCAUAUGUGCCUGUGUUUGCAGGUUGACUGCUCUCUGCAUUCGUAAAAUUGAUGCUAUAUGUAGCUGUUUUGCGGGCUUAGGAUUGGUGCCGCCGCUCCUAGCAGAACACCGUGCCCAGAUCGUAUCAGUGCGUUCGAGAAGGCAGCCAGAUGCUCGUAGAGAACCUAGCUGAAAACGUGAUCACACCGGUUCUUGGUCCUACUUUCAACUCUUAGGGAGAGGUGUAGAACUUCUACAAUCUGUACUCAUGGGAGAAGGGGUUUGGCAUCUGGUAUGGGAAGAGCCGGCUAAAUGCCGAGAGGACAAAGUGCAUCCAUGAGAUAGUGUGUGGGUGCUCGGGUGAAGCUGGUGUUUGAAACUUUGAAUGCGGGUGUGGUCAGUUUGCUCACAUGGGAUUGUUACGUAGCCAUGUCCCGAAGGUGCUCGAUUUCAUCAGAAUAAAAGAAAUUCCACAGAAGCACAUAGUUAAUAGGUGGACCAGAGAUGCAAGGUAUAUUCUGCCUGCUCACCUUACACAAUAUCAAAGGGACUAUGCUCACAAGAAUCCAUUCAGUUUUACGCAUUUCACUGUGUGCUUCCUUAGUAUAUGG